rnacentral:rRNA from 1 species
UUGUCUCUACCUGAUCCGAGGUCAACCUUUGGAAAAUUGGGGGGUUUUACGGCAAGAGUCCCUCCGGAUCCCAGUGCGAGACGUAAAGUUACUACGCAAAGGAGGCUCCGGGAGGGUCCGCCACUACCUUUGAGGGCCUACAUCAGCUGUAGGGCCCCAACACCAAGCAGAGCUUGAGGGUUGAAAUGACGCUCGAACAGGCAUGCCCGCCAGAAUGCUGGCGGGCGCAAUGUGCGUUCAAAGAUUCGAUGAUUCACUGAAUUCUGCAAUUCACAUUACUUAUCGCAUUUCGCUGCGUUCUUCAUCGAUGCCAGAACCAAGAGAUCCGUUGUUAAAAGUUUUGAUUAUUUGCUUGUACCACUCAGAAGAAACGUCGUUAAAUCAGAGUUUGGUUAUCCUCCGGCGGGCGCCGACCCGCCCGGGGGCGGGAGGCCGGGAGGGUCACGGAGACCCUACCCGCCGAAGCAACAGUUAUAGGUAUGUUCACAAAGGGUUAUAGAGCGUAAACUCAGUAAGGAUCCCUCCGCAGGUUCACCCUACGGAA